rnacentral:misc_RNA from 1 species
UCAAACUUGGUCAUUUAGAGGAAGUAAAAGUCGUAACAAGGUUUCCGUAGGUGAACCUGCGGAAGGAUCAUUACCGAGUGCGGGCCCUCUGGGUCCAACCUCCCACCCGUGUUUAUUGUACCGUGUUGCUUUGGCGGGCCCGCCGUUCAGGCCGGCGCCCGCCGAAGACCCCACCGAACGCUGUCUGAAGUAUGCAGUCUGAGCACCGAUACAAAUCAGUUAAAACUUUCAACAACGGAUCUCUUGGUUCCGGCAUCGAUGAAGAACGCAGC